GAUAGAACCAAAAAUACUAUGACUCAA
rnacentral:guide_RNA from 1 species